rnacentral:lncRNA from 1 species
UUUCAUGUGUAAUGAAAGUUACAAAACAAAGGCAUUAUUUUCCAUAUUUUUAUAAAUUCAAUCUUUUCAAGAAAGCCUGGAUUUAAAAAUGAAAAUGUUGAAUAGGCAAGUAUGUUUAAUUUUUCUCUCUACUAGAAGGAUAUGAGGGAAUUGCACUUGCCAUAAUCAGUAGCAAGAUGAUCAAAUGUGCUUUUAGGUAAUUAUUUAAUGCUAUUACAAGACAUAGUUCUCUCUGUGCUGGCCCUGGUUCUGGAGUUUUUAAUUUAGACUAGAGAGAUCUGUGAGCAAAGCAACAGUCUAGAAAGUUCUCCUGAAGCUAGAGCAUCCUUAUCCAAGGCUGUAGUGAUCACUAAAAGUAAACAAAACAACUUAAAGCCAAACAACACCAAAAAAUACAUGUGGAAUUUGCUUGAAUUCCAAAGCAUGGAAAGAUAAGGUUUAGAAGGUAGAUAAAGUAUUUUAGGUAAGGGACAUUAUAUAUACAUGCACAAGGAGGGUGUGCAUUAAACUCUUUUGGCUUAGAGUGGAAACUUUAUAGAGGUUAUACGAAGUUCAGGUUGAAAGGUACUUAGGAGUUUGAUCUUUAUGCCACAUGAAGGUGGUUGGUUGGUCAUUCAUCCAUCCAUUCAUCCAUCCAUCCAUCCAUCCAUCCAUCCAUCUAUCUAUCUAUCUAUUCAUUUGACCUGAACCCAUAUUUACUACAUGCUAGCUGUGUGCUCUAUCUCUAAGCAAUCCUUCUAUCCCUGCUGUUGGUUUUUGACAUAGACCAAGCAGCAGAGACAUGAAGAAGUACAUUGAGGGGUAUAAAGCCCAGGACCCACUUGAAUGUCUUGAAUAUGAAGUUCUAGGACUGGACCAAUGAGCUUGGAUACAUUAAGGAAGUUCCAAGUGGUUCUGUGAGUGAUUGGUUUGAAAGCUAGGCUGCAGGCACGGUGGGUGCUGGUGGAGAAGUGCUAGGAGCCUGUCCUUCAAUGCUUCCUGCAGGCAGCCAUCCCUCUCUCUUCUCUUUUAGAUGAUUACCCUGGAGGGUAAUUCCCUUCUCUUCUUACUUGUCAGCCAUGAGUCUCUUCCUUCUAUCCUUUCUAAAAUUCCACUGGUCUCCCAAGCCCCUACUAUCAGGCCCUAACAUGCACUUUAGACCUUGGUAAGCUCCAAAUUCCGAGUCACAUCCAGCAUUCACUAAUUUGUUCUCUCUAAGCCACCAUUGUCUUGAGAUUCCUGUGCUUCUGUGUAAGUUGAGUCUCCCCUGAGAGUCAGAUCAGCAGUCUUGUCUCACAGGUCCUGAGCUUCCUUCAUCCAGUUAUGCCCUCUCCCUGACAUCAACUCUACCCCCAUCCUUACUCACACCGCAGGCUAGUGGGGUGAUGAGGUGUUCCUUUGAUCUCUUGGAGUUUGCUAGGUUCUUUUAAUAAUGUUGAAGGUCAGAAUUAUUCUCACAACAGUGCACUGGCAUUUGUUUUCCUUCUUGCACCGCCAUUUUGGCAUUUGCACUAAUAGGCUAACGCACUGGUAGAGAAAGCUGUAAGUAGUUCAGCACCUAACAGUGUGGACUACAAUUGUCCUUAAAACACUGCCACUCCUGUGCACUUACUUAAUCAUGCCAGUUUCACUUGAUGACCUUGUUACAAAAAUGUCAUUACUUUUAUUAUAUCGCCACCCUUAAGAGCACUUCUCUGUAAUAUUUGUCAUGGUUAAAUGAGAAGUAUGUGUAACAUUUCUGCCUAGUAAAAAGAUGGUAGCCAUCUCAAGGAAAAGUGGACACGUGAUGAUGUGGACUUUGAGCCCACCUAGCUGUGUUCUUCCCUGUGUGGAACACAGUUCUUACCUUGAAUCUAGUGUCCAGGCUUCUAAGAUUCUCUACUUGGGAUAGUUUUUUCUGUUGUUGUUAUUUUGUUUUGUUUUGUUUUCUCCAGAGAUAUUCGAUUCUGGAAGGUCAGACUAACUACAAAUGACUAAUGCAUGAUGGCAUGGAGUUGUGCAUAGACAGAGAGCCAUUUAAGUGCAAUGCAACCAACAGGCUCAAGGGCAUACAAAUGUCAUUUAAUGGUCUCAGAUUCCAACUGUGACGAAUUUUUAAGAAACUGGCUUGUUGGGUGUUCGUAUAGUAUUGAAGAGUCCCAACAAGUAUCUUAGGGGCUGCUGUGAUUGUCGUUCUUCAACUUAGCAAGGCUAUGUAAAAAUAACUUGAUUUUGUUAUACGUCAAUCUACUGUGCUAGACAAAGUCAGAGAUAUACUUGAGAAUAUGGUUGUGUUCUUUGAAGCCUGAUAUCAAAGAGAUUUGAAAAAAAAAAAGAAAGAAUGUCUUUUACAUUUCUUAAUAUAGAAUUUUUGUUUUUAAGGAUGUUGUGGUCACAGGUAAUAAAUUUGGCUAUAUUUUUAGAUGUCCGUCUUAAUCUCUAACAUGGUAAAUAUUAAAAAUAUUACCAUGAGCCUUAUGAGAUUGUCAGUCAAUAACAUUGUAAUGUGCCAAAAACUCUGAAAGCCAAAAUGCUCGGGAUCUAUUGUUCCAAAGCAACCUAACACCAAGAGGAUGCUCCUGUAACCAUCUCAGAAUCAGAAUUCCCGUUGUCUAACCACUUCUUCCUAGACCUUUGUUCAUUUGUACUUUUAAAUCUCCAGCCUAUACAGGCUUUCCCUCUAUUUUCCUGUCUACCAUUCUGAUCACCAGGCUUGCCUCCAUACCCAGGAAGUU